CCGAGGGGGUGGGGCGCCGGAAGUGCGUACGUUCGGGGCCUUGAGACUCGCGAGCGCGUUUUCCGGUCUGGCUGCGCCUUGCGUGUUUCGGGUCGUAGUUUGCUCUGGGAGCCGGCGAGGCUCUGGGGCGGGCCUUUGACCUGUUCUCGCUCUCAGCCCGAGCUCCUGGGACGGUGCCGCGCGCCGGGCGUCAGUGUAGGACAGAUGCACAUAGGCCAAGGACAAAAGCACGUCUACUGGCAACCGCAGCACUGCAGAGAAGUGCGGCUAAAACAGCGCUGGGGGGGCUCUGCCCCUUCUGCUGGCGGCUCCGCGGCGGAGGGCGGAGGGCCGGUGGCUGCGGAGACGCCGUCCUUACCCCACGACCGGGAAGCAGAUGCUACACCGCGCGGCAGCGUUGGUGCUGGAUGGGCCCUGGAGCCUGCAGUGUCCCAAGUGGAGUGCUGCCUGCAUGUCACACGUGUAAGGGUCAAACCUCUGUUCUUCUGCUUUGUUCCCGUUAAAAGCAUUCAUCAUGUUAGGUGACUGCUACUCUGGGCCUGGCCCCGUGCCACCUGCAGAAGGAGGCAAAAGGUCAAAUCCAGAAUGUGGAAUUUUCUCUUGCACACAUGAGUCAGUUAUUAGUUAGGGGCUUGAAGGGAAAAUAAAAAGUAGGACGGAUAAUAAAAGCAUAAAAACAUAAUGGAGUGGAAUGCGUAGACUUUAUUUGCAUCACGAUAGAACAAACCAACUGUAAAAAAAAAAAAAAAAAAAAAAAACACGUCUGUGUGGUUCCUGUCAAUACAAACCCAACUAGUAUGCAUGAGAACUCAGGUUCCAUCCCUGGCCCAGCAGAGUGGUUUAAGGAUCCAGCAUUGCCGUGAGCUGUGGUGUUGGUUGAAGAUGUGACUCAGAUCUGCUGUGGCUGUGGCGUAGACCAGCUCUUUCAACCCCUAGCGCCGGAAUGUCUAUAUGUCACAGGUGCAACCCUUAAAAAAAAAAAAAAAAAAAGUUGUGAGACGGGGAAAUUUGAACAUAAACGGUGUUGGCUGUUAGCUAGGGUUACCACUACUUUUGUUAGGGAGAGAUGGCCUAAAUGGUUAGGUUAAAAAAGGCCCCCAUCGUUUAUAUAGAAGUAUUUACUGUAAGUUGUCACAGUGUCUGUCAUUUAUUUGCUUUGUAAUAUGCUGAUUACUCAGGUUAAAAAAAAAGGGUUGGGAAAAUGCCAAAGGCAAAAUGCCAGUAGUAGUUGAAGCUGGAUGAUGAGUCACGUGGAGGUAGUGACUUUUCUUCACUGGCCGUGACUUUGGACAAGUCCUUUACUUGCUCUCAGUGUUGGCUCUCAGCGCUCGUCCACUUGCUUGUCAAGCUGGGAUUCUUCCGUUUCCUGGGAGAUUGGAAAGAGGUGCAAGUGUCAUUUCCUAACACUUCGUGGGGCUCACGGGAAUCUGAUGGGGAUCCUGCCAUAAACAGCUCAGAGUGCGGCAUGAGGAAGGUCAGCCCUUAGAGCUGCUGUGUCCUGAGACAGACCAGCACUGGCCCUCGAAGUGGCAGUGCUUCUGGUACACCUGAACCCCCGGUCAGCCAAGAGGUGGCAUCCUGGAUCCACAUCUGAAACGAUGGAUUUUCAGAGUUCCCGGUCGUGGCUCAGUGGAAACGGAGUUUGAAUCAUGGCUUAGCAGUAACAAACCUGACCAGUAUCCCUGAGGACUCGAGUUUGAUCCCUGACCUUGCUCAGUUGGUUAAGGAUCCAUUGUCUCGGCGAGCUGUGGUGUGGGCUGGCAGCUGUGGCUCUGAUUCUACCCCUAGCUUGGGAACUUCCGUAUGUUGCUGUGUUGCUGGUGCAACCCUAAAAAGCAAAAAAAAAAAAAAAAAAAAAAAGGGAUUUUCCUGAACAGAAGCCUGUCUGUGCUGCCACCUGGUGGCCACAUUUGGAACUACUCCCUUGGGAACCUGCUCAGGUCGCUCCCUGAGGUCUGGAACUUCCUCCCUUGAGUGCAAGUCAUCCACACGUGGAGAUGAGACUGCCUGGAUGGGAAGACUCCUGGAUCAGCCCUUAGAAUGCACUUCCAGCAAAAGGAGUGCGUGGCCCGGGCGGGGGCGGGGGGGGGCA
rnacentral:lncRNA from 9 species